rnacentral:lncRNA from 1 species
AGCAUAAAGUCUAAUGAUUUUAUGUCAACGUCAUAACACAUAGGCCCAUGUCGUAUCAUUUCAUGUUAUGAAUGUAGAUUGGUUGACGGAUAGGGUGGGAAAACUUCAUGCGUUGGGUGGAAAGUGGCGGGCGGCCGAGAAGACUAAAGAAAAGUAUCGUUAAGUCUGUCUCCCGGUUACCGUGGCAACUCCUCCAGCAUGACAAGUUCCCUGAAUGGGUGUAUAAAAUAGUUGAGUAUACGGGUAAGGGAGGCAGUGAGUGAGAAAGGAAGCAACGGACAGCAUCCUGAUUAGCCAUUUAGGGAUAAAAGACUGAGUACUUUGGAGGACAUCUAAACAAUAAGCCGACGUUCUCUUUUUAUACCGUGUAGUGACAGCAAAGACGAAACAUCGGUAAUAUAAUAGUCGAAAAAAAAUUGCGAACCGCCUGCCCUUGCAAUCUCUUCACAUUACACUUUUUUCAGUUCACAAUGAACACGCUAUCACAAUACCUUCUCCUGAUAUGCUCGCUCUUGGUCCUGAUCCAGAGCUAUGCUCUCCCAACAUACGACAAACAGAACGUUGGCGAACUCCAAGGCGACAACGAUAUCGAUGACCAACAGAUAGAUUUGUGGGACGCGCUGAAGACGGGCGACAAUGAUGACGUCUUCUCCCGGUUAACGAGGGGUGGUGAAGCUUUCAGCCGUGAUCGACGUCGCGUCUGCGUCAGCGACUGCAGUUUCUGCCAUACUUUCUUCCCAACCUACAAGCUUGGCAACUGCUUCCACGGGUGCAGGAAAGGAUUCCACGAUUCUGGUUGCCGGGAGUUCCGCUAUUAAUUCAGCUCCUAUCUAAGACUGUGUACAUUUACGUUCAUACUUGAAACACUUGUUAACGUUCCUUUCCGUUCGUCGAUAUAAACAUGUAGUUCCACCCGUGACUUUCUGAGUAGCGACGAAUAAAGCUGAUAUUCCCAAGCUUAAAAUUCUGUACGCCAGAGCUCAGUGAACCUCUGUAAAACAUGGCCUCGCCUGACCUGAAACGGACCCAUAUAUCUUGUGUGUUUUUGGAAUCCAGGAAUUGAGAAACAGAGAACCCUCAGAUCGUGCAAAAAUGGAUGAAUGUGUAAAUAAUGUGUUUUACAAAGAACUAUAUUUUGCUCUUGCCUCUCCUAUUGUAUGUGUUUUUAGGAGACGGAUUACUCUUUCGUCACCACUGUCGCUAUAUUGGUUUUAUCCCUUAUAAUAAUUUUAUUGAGUAGAAUAUUUUCUUAGGUAUUCUGUUAAGUGCCACUGUAUGUGUAUUGAUUAUCUUACCAUUUAUAGGAUAAAGAAUGAUUGAUUUUGAAUUUCAUGAUGUGCAACGACAAGCCCUUAACAAGGCACUUUAUUUGACCCCAAAAUGCUAUGGGAGGAAAAUAAUACAAAACAUAAUUCCACGUAGGAUCAGAUUUCAGGGUUUUUUCCGUAUUUUUGUUUUCUAUUUGAUAUUGUUAUUUCAUCAUAUUACUCAUUAUCAUAAUCAUGCAUACUCAAUAAAACUUUCAAAAAAGAUAGAGAUACUAUCAAUAUUAAAUAUUAGCAAAUAGUUUGAGCUCAAUUUACAAUUCUAUUCUAUGUACGAGAGUACUGAUUAUCAUCAUCACAUAACGAAAAUAUAGAAAAUAAUGAUAUUUCCAAUCUUUAUUUGAAAGGUGCCACAGAGGUCGGGUGAUCGUUCAUGAUUAGAAAAGGGAAGAAGGAUAGAGAAGAAAAGUAAAGGGGGUAUUAGAAAGGGGGUCUGUGCCGUGUAACUGUAAUAAUACCCCUGCAUUGCACAAACGCUGAUUGGAAUUUUUAGCCCGUCAUUCAAGAACUAUGGUUUAAAGUUUGAAACAAUUGUUUACAAAAAGUUUCAACAAUUUCAAAAAUCUUAAAGAAUUAUUAAAAGUUUAAGCAACACGUUUGAGUGACGAGCUUAAAUAACGUGCUAAAACAGUUUACUGUGUAUCAUUUAACUGAGAAACGAGUUAUCUUGUCCUGGAGCCGUCUCUCUUUGAAAAAAAAAUUCAUUUUACAUAGUUAAGGUAGUAAGCAUUAAAAUGAUAAAAUGUAUGGUAUAGGUAAUAAAUAUUAAUGAAACAACCAACAUUGCUAAAGUCUAUAAAUUCAUGCUUUAUAUUUGUAUAUGAUGUAUAAUAAAUAUUAUAUGUUAAUUUUGUUUAUUGAAUUCUUCAAUACCUAAUAAAGGGUUCAUAUUUUAA